AUUGAACGCUGGCGGCAGGCCUAACACAUGCAAGUCGAACGGUAACAGGAAGAAGCUUGCUUCUUUGCUGACGAGUGGCGGACGGGUGAGUAAUGUCUGGGAAACUGCCUUAUGGAGGGGGAUAACUACUGGAAACGGUAGCUAAUACCGCAUAACGUCGCAAGACCAAAGAGGGGGACCUUCGGGCCUCUUGCCAUCGGAUGUGCCCAGAUGGGAUUAGCUAGUAGGUGGGGUAACGGCUUACCUAGGCGACGAUCCCUAGCUGGUUUGAGAGGCUGACCGCCCACCCUGGAACGGAGCCACGGUCCAGACUCCUACGGGAGGCAGCAGUGGGGACUAUUGCACAAUGGGCGGAAGCCUGACGGAGCCAUGCCGCGUGUGUGAAGAAGGCCUUCGGGUUGUAAAAUUCUUUCAGUGGGGAGGAACAGAGUAAAGUUAAUCACUUUGCUUAUUGACGUUACCCGCAGAAGAAGCACCGGCUAACUCCGUG
rnacentral:rRNA from 1 species